GAGGAGAAGAGACCAACCAGGGGAUUGCCCUAGUAACGGCCGAGUGAAGCGGCAACAGCUCAAAUUUGAAAUCUGGCCCUCGCGGUCCCGAGUUGUAAUUUGUAGAGGAUGCUUUUGGUUAGGUACCUUCCCGAGUUCCCUGGAACGGGACGCCAGAGAGGGUGAGAGCCCCGUACGGUUGGAUACCGAGCCUCUAUAUAGCUCCUUCGACGAGUCGAGUAGUUUGGGAAUGCUGCUCUAAAUGGGAGGUAAAUUUCUUCUAAAGCUAAAUACCGGCCAGAGACCGAUAGCGCACAAGUAGAGUGAUCGAAAGAUGAAAAGUACUUUGAAAAGAGGGUUAAAUAGCACGUGAAAUUGUUGAAAGGGAAGCGUUUGCGACCAGACUUUUUCCGGGCGGAUCAUCCGGUGUUCUCACCGGUGCACUUCGCCCGGUUUAGGCCAGCAUCGGUUCUCCUAGGGGGAUAAAGGCGGGGGGAACGUGGCUCCUUCGGGAGUGUUAUAGCCCCCCGCGUAAUACCCCUCGGGGGACCGAGGAACGCGCAUCUGCAAGGAUGCUGGCGUAAUGGUCGCCAACGACCCGUCUUGAAACACGGACCAAGGAGUCGAACAUUUGUGCGAGUGUUUGGGUGUCAAACCCUCACGCGUAAUGAAAGUGAACGGAGGUGAGAGCCCCUCGGGGUGCAUCAUCGACCGAUCCUGAUGUCUUCGGAUGGAUUUGAGUAAGAGCAUAAAUGUUCGGACCCGAAAGAUGGUGAACUAUGCGUGGAUAGGGGUGAAGCCAGAGGGAAACUCUGGUGGAGGCUCCGCAGCGGGUUUCUGACGUGCAAAUCGAUCGUCAAAUCUGCGCAUGGGG
rnacentral:rRNA from 1 species